GUCAGGAAGAAAUGGCCCCUAAGUGCCUGGUCCCAUCAGAUCUCGGAAGCUAAGCAGGGAUGGGCAUGGUUACUACUUGAACAGGAGACCACUUUGAAAAAUCAGGGGCUGCUGGCC
rnacentral:rRNA from 12 species